ACCCAGACUCCUACGGGAGGCAGCAGUGAGGAAUAUUGGUCAAUGGCCGAGAGGCUGAACCAGCCAAGUCGCGUGAGGGAUGACGGCCCUACGGGUUGUAAACCUCUUUUGCCGGGGAGCAAAGAGCGGGACGCGUCCCGCCUCGAGAGUACCCGGAGAAAAAGCAUCGGCUAACUCCGUGCCAGCAGCCGCGGUAAUACGGAGGAUCCGAGCGUUAUCCGGAUUUAUUGGGUUUAAAGGGAGCGUAGAUGGGUUGUUAAGUCAGUUGUGAAAGUUUGCGGCUCAACCGUAAAAUUGCAAUUGAUACUGGCAGCCUUGAGUACAGUUGAGGUAGGCGGAAUUCGUGGUGUAGCGGUGAAAUGCUUAGAUAUUGCGCAGAACUCCGAUUGCGAAGGCAGCAUACCGGCGGCGAUCUGACGCUGAGGCACGAAAGCGUGGGUAUCGAACAGGAUUAGAUACCCGAGUA
rnacentral:rRNA from 1 species